GAUGACGACAGCGCGCGUGACGCUGCAGUCUCGUGACAGCCCCUCCGAGAAAGUCCGCCAGCGGGAAAGGACUUGUUUGUGUGUCUGUGUGUGGAACAACUGCGCAUGUGCGAACGCGACUCUUAUGCAGCGAAGAGCAAAGGAUGAGGGAAGCGACAGAAUGAGGCAGAGAGAAUUAAGCCAGGAGGAGGAUCACGAUUUGAGGAAGAAAGUAGGCUCAGAGAUAAUUCUGUACCUUAACUUCUACUAUUCCCAGCAAUUCUGGCAAGUGGUCAGCAAUGGUGGAAAUUGCAGUCCAACAGACCUGGCCACCAGUCAGCCAUGGCCAGUGAAACUCUUAAUUGGGCUUGGAAGAUAAUUGACAAGUUCAUGUCUUUUAGCAUUGGGUUAACAUCCAGAAUUCUGAAAUCUGAAAUAAAGAUAUUUGCUUUCCAAUGGCUUAGUUUAUACAAAUUUGGUUUAGUGCACAAAAUUGUAUAGUGUUACAAACACUCAAGUUAUACAUGAUUCUUCAUGGAGAAAAGGAACAUAUUAUAUGCUUUUGUUUUAUGUUCACUUUUCCCAAAAAGUACAUUCUCAAUUUUCUUGUAAGAGUACUGGAGAUGUAUGCUAAUUCUUUAAAUAGUCUUAUCAUGAACAUACAGGUUGAACAGUUAGCAAAUAGUCAAACACAUGAUAAUCAUGAUUUGUUACUUGCUUCUCCUCACAACAUGAGGCGGAGCAUAACAUAGUUAAAACGCAUCAUCACAAAAACAUUCAAUAAAAUGCAUAUAUUGAAACAUUGUUAUAUAAAAUGCACACACUAAGAUACAUGAAACAAAGAUUAAAAUACAAUCAUCAUAGAAUGUAAAUUUCAAAUUCACGGUUUAAAAUUUACCAGGUAUGCUAACUGGAAGAGAUUCAAGUUGUAUCUUGCAUUCCUACAACUGAUUUUGCUGUCAAAUCUCCCGCAGAUUAUUCACAGUCUUGGUGCAGCUUAUGUAAAAGUUCUCUAAGUAAUGGCCACUAGUCAGGUUCUGGAGUGGUUGGAGUUAAGUGUCCACUGUAGAUUGUACAGGAGAAGGUGAUCCUGUAGGUAGCCAAAACCACAUAGUGCUUUAAAGGCCAAAACCAACACUUUGUUCUUUGCCCGGAAGCUAAUUGGCAACCAGUGGAGUGACUUUAGUGUGGGUGUAAUAUACUCAGUCCUGGAUGUUCUUAUAACAAGUCUGGCUGCUAUGUUUGGAGCUAAUUGGAGUUUCCAAACUUGGUACAGAGGUAGCCUAAUGUAAAGUGCAUCGCAGAAGUCCAACCUUGAGGUUACCGCUACCAUCUUUAGGUCCUCCGAUUCCAAGAAGGGGUGCAGGUGACAUAUCAUCCAAAGCUGGUAGUAAGCACUCCUGACCAUCGCAUUUACCUGGUCUGACAUUUGGAGAGACAAAUCUAGAUGCACUACAAACACAAUCUUGGGGGGGGGGGGGGUAACCCCACCCAGAACUGGUUGACAUGCCUCCAUCCCCAGGUUUUAUAAUGGAUAUGAUUAAAAUUACGCAGAAAUGUGGCUAUAUUUAGAGACAUAAUUAUGAAUUUCAGUACACUGCCAUAUGUAUCUAUAUUUCUACAUUAUGGGAAUAAUGACUGCAUUAUGGUAACAUAGAACAAUGCAACGUGCCUUGAAGCUGCUACCACAUUAUUAAACAAAUAACACCAUCUGUUGUAGAAUAAUGUUGGUUCUAAAAUAGAUGGUUUUCUUAGCAUAUAGGUAAUUUUCAAGCUGGACUACAGUAUUUGUGAAUUCAUCAGAGGCCAGGCUGAAAUGCACAGCUUCUUUAUGUUAUUUAAGAGAAAAUAAUUUCUUCUCUUCAGCACACAGUGCUUGUCAAGCUUACAUGUGUAUGUACCUUCAAUUCACCUGUCCACCUAUGAAAAUUCCAUUAGUUUGAUAGGAUUUUCUUAGACAAAGAAUACUUAGUGAUGGUUGGAGCAUAAUACAUUAUCAGCAUUCUGAUUUAUUCUGUAGUUGCAGCUCAGUCUAUGCUAACCUCAGAUUUUCUACUAAAUUUGCUCCUAUCCCCCACUAUUUUGCUCCUAUAAUCUGUGAGGAGGUUAUGUUUCCAUACUCUUGUUAUUUCAAAUGCAUCUCUGUGAACUCCAGUCAAUAUCCUGCGUCCUUUUUUGUGAAUUAUGGCGUUCAGCUGUGAAACUCUGCACCUAUAGAUAGUAUGGUUGGGUCUGAUUAAUAACUAUAAAUAACUAAAUAAAAAUAAAGUUUAUGGUAAUCAUAUUAUAGGGUUUUCUUGGCAACAUUUACUUAGAUGAAGUUUGCCAUUGCAUUUUCACUUCAGCUUGUGACUAGUCCAAGGCCAUCCUGUGGUUUCUUCAGCUAAGAAUGCAGAUUUGGACUGUUAGUGUUCUAGUCCAACUACUUCACAUUGGCUCCAUUUUGCCUACCUGGUUUUUCUAGCUCUGAGAAGGGCUUUAGGAAACCCCAACAAAAGGCUUUGGGUCUCAGUUGUGAUCCAUGGACCAUACUUUGCCCAAUCCUGGUGUGCAAAAAUAGCUGUACUGCAUGAUUGACUGUGUAGAUUACUUCCUAGAAGCAGAUAAUGGCAACAUACUGUACUUAUUCAUAGGGAUCUAAUUGUAGUACAGAGUAAAUGACAGCCUGAAGUUUGUAGAAUUCUUUGAAUUGUGCAUGUAUCAUAUGGUGGCUGUAUCCCGUAGAAAUCUAAUGGGGCUGCUGAUCGACUGCAGCCUCCCUACAACAUAAAAAUGCAAGGGCUAUUAUUUAUUUAUUUAUUUAUUUUACAGCAUUUAUACCCUGCCCGUCUCACCUGACGGGACUUAGGGCGGCUCACAGAGAUUGGCAAAAUUUAAUUAUUAUUAUUAUUAUUAUUAUUAUACCCCGCCCCAUCUCUCUGAGGGGACUCGGGGCAGCUUACAUGGGGCCAAGCCCAGGCAACAAGCAAUAUAAAACUCAACAAUAAAAACAAAUCAUAAAUGCCCCAAAGCACCAGAUCCUGUUUGAUCUUGGAAGCUAAACAGAGUUAGCCCUGGUUCGUCCACCAAUAAAUACCAGAUGCCAUAGACCACUGCUUCUUAAACUGUGGGUCCUGACCUCAAAUGGGGUCCCCUUAGCUUGAUGUUGGGAUCACUAAAACAUUAGCAACAGUAAAAUGUUUCAGAAGGCCACCUAGACAUUUGCACAAAUCUGUUACCAACAACAUGCAAUUUUUAUUGUCGACUUUGCAGAAAUUGCUUCAGCUAUACUGCAUAAAAAGGUAAAUCAGCCUGUUUAGCAAGCCUUGCAAAUGUUGGUUUGUUACCAGUAAACGUUUUGAUUUCUAUGGCUAUUUUAUAUACCUGUAUACCCAGGGUCACACAAAUAUUUCUAAGGUGGAAAGGGGUCCCAAGUGGAAAAGUUUAGUAAGCCCUGCUCUAGACUGUAUUUCAGAGGAAGGAACUAGCAAAACACUUCUAAGUAUUCUUCUAAGAAAACUAUGAAAUGUAACAAAUGACUUAAGACAAGUCACACACAUACACACACAGAAGUGAGCACAUCCUGGGUUCUACCAGUUGUGUCAAUUCCAAUUUUACAAGCAAUUACAUGUACUGUGAAAGUCAGCGCCAUCAUUUGACUUCCCACCUAUUACUUUCUAAGCUCAGGUUCAAUGUCUUUGUUUUGCCUUAUAUUCUGAUUUUGCGCACAUGUAUUUUAGUGAUUAAAUGUUGUUCCUCUAGUGCAGGCAUGGAAAAGCUAAGGCCUGGGGGCCGAAUGUAGUCCCCUGGGUGCUUACUUCAGGCCCUCCUCAUUAUCCCUUUCCUCUUGCCAUAAGGACACAGUGGCCCAUCGUGUCCUUAUGCUUAAAAGAUGGGGAAGGAAGGCACGCAGCAGCUGAGAGCCCUCUGAAGCACUCACAGCCGCUGCAUGUCUCGCCCUUCUGGCAUAACGACGUUGCAAGCGGCCGCAUCUUUAUGCCAGGAGGACGGCUCAAGGAAGGCAUGCAACGACUAAGAGUCCUCCAGAGCACUUUCAACCACCGCCUGUCUCGCCCUCCUCCCAGCAUAAUGCCAAGAGGGCAACCUGAGGAUUGGAGGAGGAGGAUCAGGACAGUCGCUGAAUAUUGGAAAUAACAACCUUCUUCAAGCCUUUUCUAGUAAUGUUUAUCUAUGAACCUGUUGCUUACUGUUUCCUUUAUGUAUGUUGUGGUAUGCAGUUUCCUUGACUCCAUGGUUCUCCCUCCCUCUCUCUUUCCCUCCCUCCCUCCUCCUCUCUCCCCUUUCCCUUCCUCUCUCUCUCUCUCUCUCACACACACACAUACACACACACACACACACACAAACACACACAUCUCAAACAUAUCUGAAACUGGACUGAUAAGUUUUGUACUUAUGUAUGCUGAACACAUGAAUGUGGUGAGUAAACCAAAUACAUUCUUUUUUUCAAAGCCUGCUUCAUUUUUGUCUCUUAAAUGCACAAUAUAAAACAAGCUGUUUUAUGGGAGAGUAUAUAUUUUGGGCACUGAAAAACACUUCUAAAGCUCUGCUGUUUUUAUGCACUGGCAAAUCUCUGUUUUCUAACAGAUCAGAAAUAACAGGUUAUUCAGUCUAACAACUGAAACCAUUGCCUUGCGUAAUUAUAUCUGGUUGCAUACCCCAAGAGAAGAUUCUACCCUAAAGGGUUUUUGGCUUUUCUCUGAAAGGUCAUGUUUUUCUUUUUAAAAGUUAUGAUUUCCUAAAGGUGUUUUUCCAAAAGGUUAUGAAUGCCAUUUUCCAAAACCGCGUGUCUUGCCUUCCCCCUGGCAUAAGGAUGUGGUGAGCAUCCGGACCUGCAGUGCUGCCCCAAAGCAAAAAAAAAUUGCCUAUGCCUGCUCUAAUGGCACCAGAUGCCGUGUGAUUCUGGAAGCUAAGUGGGAUUGGUUCUGAUUAAUCUUGGAUGGAAUACCCCCAUUGAAUGCAGGGUACUGUAGGCUAUUGUCUCAGAACAUUUCUUUUCUAAACAACCCAUAUGUUAAUGGGCCACUUGAAACUGCAUCCAUACACAUGUAUAACCUAACCACACAAAGUAAGAAUGUCUGUUGUCUCUUUCUGAAACAUUGAGUUACCAACACCUUAUACUGAGCCUGUAGGUGGCAGCAGCUGCCUCGACAGAGAGCUUCAGCCCAAAUCCUAUAUAUUUCAGCUGUUUGCUUUGCUGGGGUUUUUGCAGUGGCCACAGUGGAGACCUAUGCAGAAAACUUACUCGUAUGAGUUUGAUUUAAAGAACAGACUGACACAAUCCUUCCCCACAUCAGAAUAAAGAAAGCUGCCCAAGCAUAUUUUUUUAAAAGAAGAAAGGGAGCCCCAACUUCCAGCAGGGAGUUGAAGAACUUGAGUAAUCCAUCACAACAGUUGUACUGAAACAAGAAGAGAAAUCGAUCUUUCUCCCUUUUGGCCUGAAUGUUAUGGACAAGUAUGUGUGCAUGGAAUGUACAAGAGUGAAAAUUGUUGCAUGCUUUUAAGAGAACAAAACUCAACAUCUUUUAGGAAACAAGGUGUUAUUCUCAAAUGACAAGCAGAACAAUUAAGCAAAACAGUUUUAAUUAUAAAAAUGCAUUUUAUUUAUUACCUGUCUCUACUGAUGGCUCGAGGCUGGGUACAACAAAUUCAAAAACAAAUGAACAUAAAAAUACAAUUAAUUACUAAAAUUUUAGGGAGAAGCAGCAGUCAUAUCAUCAUUUCAUAUAGAUUUCUAGACAGAGUGUGUGUUAUGUGAAUUCAUCUGGGAGCCAGUCAGAAAAGCCAAUACAAGCAAAGUACAUAUUAAUUUUGUGAAGAUACUAAGAUAUUUUUUUUUGCAUUAGGCCUCUAGCUGCUACAUCAAACUCAGCCCAUAGAUCAACAGUAGAAUUAAGGUACAUCUUGGUGAUGUAGUGGGACUACUUGGCUGCAGGAUGCUUGCAAAGGAUCCCAUUUUUUAAAGAUCGAGUUAUAGAUUUGAAAUUGGAGUGCAUGCUCAGAAAGAUUGUGUUGUGACUGCGCCUUCGGGGAUUAUGGUUGAUGGUGAUGGAAUUCGAAGAGGAAGAAAAAACCCUCGUGAUGAGGGUUCACUGGAGGAGUUGCGCAGGAAGCGACUUAGAGAGCUAUAUGGGGGAUCUUCUGAGGAAGAUUCAGAUGGGGAGAUGGAUGCUGAGGAACAGGUGGUGGCUGGGGAAGCGGGCACUGAAUGGGCACAGCCUCCGGAGAUGUCUGGGGAUUUGGGGCUUAUGGAUACUUCUGAUCCUGGGGUUUCUGCAGGAGCUGAUCCCAAUUGGGAUGCUUGGAGAAGGGAGGAUGGUUCUUUAAGUGUUCAUGGGGCUAAGUGUGGGCAGGAUGAUUGGGACUCCGACGAAUUGCUAGGUACUCCAGAUCCACGAGCUCUAGCUGUGUGGAGUUCAGACUCUGAGUAGAUUUGGGACACCUGGUGUUUGGGUGUGAGUGUUUGGUCACCCAGGAGGAAGGGGAAUAAAAUGGGAAUGUUUGGCCACUGUACUUUGCGUGUGGCAAGGUGUUGCUGAGGCGCCAUUGGGAUCUCUGUGUUUCCAUGAAGACUGAACUUGGACUAUGAUUUGAAUCUGCUGAUAUCAUCUAGCUUGGCUCUCGCUGUGUCUUAUCGUGGACCUGUUUUGGAUGACUGCACCCUCUUCGGACUUUGGAUUGAAUUUGACCUGGCUUCUGUCUACGCCCUCUGACUGACGGCUACUCCCGGCUUCUGACUAUUGGUUUGUCUUUCGGAAUUUCUGCUGCCUCCCGACCUGACCUUGGAUUCUUCUGACGACGGCUAUUCAUCAUCCCUUUGAGGCUCUCGGCUUAUCUGCACCGUGGAAGCAGCUUUACUGCUUUUCUAGUUUGUUUAUUUUCCAGCAAUUAACUCUAUUUGUUUUCCAAAGCUGAAUUGAAGCGUUAUUUAGUUUUUUAUUGAAUGCCAGCAUGGGAAAUUAGCGUGGCUCGUUUUUGAGUUAUUAUUGUCCAAUCUACUCUCGAAACACUGAAAAGUGAAGUGUUUCAAGGAUAUUUCCUGUGUUUAUGUUAUUUUUUGGCUUAUCUUUGGAAUAAACUUUGUUUUGUAUGUUAACUGG